GGACCCGCACAAGUAGUGGAGCAUGUGGUUUAAUUCGAAGAUACGCGCAGAACCUUACCAACACUUGACAUGUUCGUCGCGACUUUAAGAGAUUAAAGUUUUCGGUUCGGCCGGACGAAACACAGGUGCUGCAUGGCUGUCGUCAGCUCGUGUCGUGAGAUGUUGGGUUAAGUCCCGCAACGAGCGCAACCCCCAUUUCUAGUUGCCAGCGGUUCGGCCGGGGACUCUAGAGAAACUGCCAGCGUAAGCUGUGAGGAAGGUGGGGAUGACGUCAAAUCAUCACGGCCCUUACAUCCUGGGCUACACACGUACUACAAUGCUACGGACAAAGGGCAGCAAGUUCGCGAGGACAAGCAAAUCCCAUAAACCGUGGCUCAGUUCAGAUCGUAGGCUGCAACUCGCCUACGUGAAGGCGGAAUCGCUAGUAAUCG
rnacentral:rRNA from 1 species